rnacentral:rRNA from 1 species
GGUUAAGUGACUAAGCGUACACGGUGGAUGCCUAGGCAGUCAGAGGCGAUGAAGGGCGUGCUAAUCUGCGAAAAGCGUCGGUAAGGUGAUAUGAACCGUUACAACCGGCGAUACCCGAAUGGGGAAACCCAGUGUGUUUCGACACACUAUCAUGUCAUGAAUACAUAGUGGCAUGAGGCGAACCGGGGGAACUGAAACAUCUAAGUACCCCGAGGAAAAGAAAUCAACCGAGAUUCCCCCAGUAGCGGCGAGCGAACGGGGAGGAGCCCAGAACCUGAAUCGGCUUGUGUGUUAGUGGAAGCGUCUGGAAAGUCGCGCAGCAAAGGGUGAUAGCCCCGUACACUAAAAUGCACAGGUCGUGAGUUCGAUGAGUAGGGCGGGACACGUGACAUCCUGUCUGAAUAUGGGGGGACCAUCCUCCAAGGCUAAAUACUCCUGACUGACCGAUAGUGAACCAGUACCGUGAGGGAAAGGCGAAAAGAACCCCGGCGAGGGGAGUGAAAUAGAACCUGAAACCGUGUACGUACAAGCAGUGGGAGCACCUUCGUGGUGUGACUGCGUACCUUUUGUAUAAUGGGUCAGCGACUUAUAUUUUGUAGCAAGGUUAACCGUAUAGGGGAGCCGUAGGGAAACCGAGUCUUAACUGGGCGAAUAGUUGCAAGGUAUAGACCCGAAACCCGGUGAUCUAGCCAUGGGCAGGUUGAAGGUUGGGUAACACUAACUGGAGGACCGAACCGACUAAUGUUGAAAAAUUAGCGGAUGACUUGUGGCUGGGGGUGAAAGGCCAAUCAAACCGGGAGAUAGCUGGUUCUCCCCGAAAGCUAUUUAGGUAGCGCCUCGUGAACUCAUCUUCGGGGGUAGAGCACUGUUUCGGCUAGGGGGCCAUCCCGGCUUACCAAACCGAUGCAAACUCCGAAUACCGAAGAAUGUUAUCACGGGAGACACACGGCGGGUGCUAACGUCCGUCGUGAAGAGGGAAACAACCCAGACCGCCAGCUAAGGUCCCAAAGUCAUGGUUAAGUGGGAAACGAUGUGGGAAGGCAUAGACAGCCAGGAUGUUGGCUUAGAAGCAGCCAUCAUUUAAAGAAAGCGUAAUAGCUCACUGGUCGAGUCGGCCUGCGCGGAAGAUGUAACGGGGCUAAACCAUGCACCGAAGCUGCGGCAGCGACGCUUAGGCGUUGUUGGGUAGGGGAGCGUUCUGUAAGCCGUUGAAGGUGGCCUGUGAGGGUUGCUGGAGGUAUCAGAAGUGCGAAUGCUGACAUAAGUAACGAUAAAGCGGGUGAAAAGCCCGCUCGCCGGAAGACCAAGGGUUCCUGUCCAACGUUAAUCGGGGCAGGGUGAGUCGACCCCUAAGGCGAGGCUGAAAAGCGUAGUCGAUGGGAAACAGGUUAAUAUUCCUGUACUUGGUGUUACUGCGAAGGGGGGACGGAGAAGGCUAGGCUAGCCGGGCGACGGUUGUCCCGGUUUAAGCGUGUAGGGGGUGUGACCUGGUAAAUCCGGUUACAUACUAACCCUGAGGCGUGAUGACGAUGCACUACGGUGCAGAAGUAGUUGAUGCCCUGCUUCCAGGAAAAGCCUCUAAGCUCUAGGUAACAUUAAAUCGUACCCCAAACCGACACAGGUGGUCAGGUAGAGAAUACCAAGGCGCUUGAGAGAACUCGGGUGAAGGAACUAGGCAAAAUGGUGCCGUAACUUCGGGAGAAGGCACGCUGGCAUGUAGGUGAAGUCCUUCGCGGAUGGAGCUGAAGCCAGUCGAAGAUACCAGCUGGCUGCAACUGUUUAAUAAAAACACAGCACUGUGCAAACACGAAAGUGGACGUAUACGGUGUGACGCCUGCCCGGUGCUGGAAGGUUAAUUGAUGGGGUCAGCCGCAAGGCGAAGCUCUUGAUCGAAGCCCCAGUAAACGGCGGCCGUAACUAUAACGGUCCUAAGGUAGCGAAAUUCCUUGUCGGGUAAGUUCCGACCUGCACGAAUGGCGUAAUGAUGGCCAGGCUGUCUCCACCCGAGACUCAGUGAAAUUGAACUCGCUGUGAAGAUGCAGUGUACCCGCGGCAAGACGGAAAGACCCCGUGAACCUUUACUAUAGCUUGACACUGAACAUUGAGCCUUGAUGUGUAGGAUAGGUGGGAGGCUUUGAAGCGUGGACGCCAGUCUGCGUGGAGCCAACCUUGAAAUACCACCCUUUAAUGUUUGAUGUUCUAACUCGGCCCCAUAAUCUGGGGUGAGGACAGUGUCUGGUGGGUAGUUUGACUGGGGCGGUCUCCUCCCAAAGAGUAACGGAGGAGCACGAAGGUUAGCUAAUCACGGUCGGACAUCGUGAGGUUAGUGCAAAGGCAUAAGCUAGCUUGACUGCGAGAGUGACGGCUCGAGCAGGUACGAAAGUAGGUCUUAGUGAUCCGGUGGUUCUGAAUGGAAGGGCCAUCGCUCAACGGAUAAAAGGUACUCCGGGGAUAACAGGCUGAUACCGCCCAAGAGUUCAUAUCGACGGCGGUGUUUGGCACCUCGAUGUCGGCUCAUCACAUCCUGGGGCUGAAGUAGGUCCCAAGGGUAUGGCUGUUCGCCAUUUAAAGUGGUACGCGAGCUGGGUUUAGAACGUCGUGAGACAGUUCGGUCCCUAUCUGCCGUGGGCGUUGGAAGAUUGAGAGGGGUUGCUCCUAGUACGAGAGGACCGGAGUGAACGCACCACUGGUGUUCGGGUUGUCAUGCCAAUGGCAUUGCCCGGUAGCUAAGUGCGGAAAAGAUAAGCGCUGAAAGCAUCUAAGCGCGAAACUUGCCUCAAGAUGAGUCUUCCCUGGGCCUUUAAGGCCCCUGAAGGAACGUUUAAGACUAAGACGUUGAUAGGCUGGGUGUGUAAGUGCAGCGAUGCAUUGAGCUAACCAGUACUAAUGAUCCGUGAGGCUUAACCUU